GGGUUGUGAGGUUAAGCGACUAAGCGUACACGGUGGAUGCCCUGGCAGUCAGAGGCGAUGAAGGACGUGCUAAUCUGCGAUAAGCGUCGGUGAGGUGAUAUGAACCGUUAUAACCGGCGAUUUCCGAAUGGGGAAACCCAGUGUGUUUCGACACACUAUCAUUAACUGAAUCCAUAGGUUAAUGAGGCGAACCGGGGGAACUGAAACAUCUAAGUACCCCGAGGAAAAGAAAUCAACCGAGAUUCCCCAGUAGCGGCGAGCGAACGGGGAGGAGCCCAGAGCCUGAAUCAGUGUGUGUGUUAGUGGAAGCGUCUGGAAAGGCGCGCGAUACAGGGUGACAGCCCCGUACACAAAAAUGCACAUAUUGUGAGCUCGAUGAGUAGGGCGGGACACGUGGUAUCCUGUCUGAAUAUGGGGGACCAUCCUCCAAGGCUAAAUACUCCUGACUGACCGAUAGUGAACCAGUACCGUGAGGGAAAGGCGAAAAGAACCCCGGCGAGGGGAGUGAAAAAGAACCUGAAACCGUGUACGUACAAGCAGUGGGAGCCUCUUAAUGGGGUGACUGCGUACCUUUUGUAUAAUGGGUCAGCGACUUAUAUUCUGUAGCAAGGUUAACCGAAUAGGGGAGCCGAAGGGAAACCGAGUCUUAACUGGGCGUUAAGUUGCAGGGUAUAGACCCGAAACCCGGUGAUCUAGCCAUGGGCAGGUUGAAGGUUGGGUAACACUAACUGGAGGACCGAACCGACUAAUGUUGAAAAAUUAGCGGAUGACUUGUGGCUGGGGGUGAAAGGCCAAUCAAACCGGGAGAUAGCUGGUUCUCCCCGAAAGCUAUUUAGGUAGCGCCUCGUGAAUUCAUCUCCGGGGGUAGAGCACUGUUUCGGCAAGGGGGUCAUCCCGACUUACCAACCCGAUGCAAACUGCGAAUACCGGAGAAUGUUAUCACGGGAGACACACGGCGGGUGCUAACGUCCGUCGUGAAGAGGGAAACAACCCAGACCGCCAGCUAAGGUCCCAAAGUCAUGGUUAAGUGGGAAACGAUGUGGGAAGGCCCAGACAGCCAGGAUGUUGGCUUAGAAGCAGCCAUCAUUUAAAGAAAGCGUAAUAGCUCACUGGUCGAGUCGGCCUGCGCGGAAGAUGUAACGGGCUAAACCAUGCACCGAAGCUGCGGCAGCGACACUAUGUGUUGUUGGGUAGGGGAGCGUUCUGUAAGCCUGUGAAGGUGGCCUGUGAGGGUUGCUGGAGGUAUCAGAAGUGCGAAUGCUGACAUAAGUAACGAUAAAGCGGGUGAAAAGCCCGCUCGCCGGAAGACCAAGGGUUCCUGUCCAACGUUAAUCGGGGCAGGGUGAGUCGACCCCUAAGGCGAGGCCGAAAGGCGUAGUCGAUGGGAAACAGGUUAAUAUUCCUGUACUUGGUGUUACUGCGAAGGGGGGACGGAGAAGGCUAUGUUGGCCGGGCGACGGUUGUCCCGGUUUAAGCGUGUAGGCUGGUUUUCCAGGCAAAUCCGGAAAAUCAAGGCUGAGGCGUGAUGACGAGGCACUACGGUGCUGAAGCGACAAAUGCCCUGCUUCCAGGAAAAGCCUCUAAGCAUCAGGUAACAUCAAAUCGUACCCCAAACCGACACAGGUGGUCAGGUAGAGAAUACCAAGGCGCUUGAGAGAACUCGGGUGAAGGAACUAGGCAAAAUGGUGCCGUAACUUCGGGAGAAGGCACGCUGAUAUGUAGGUGAAGCGACUUGCUCGUGGAGCUGAAAUCAGUCGAAGAUACCAGCUGGCUGCAACUGUUUAUUAAAAACACAGCACUGUGCAAACACGAAAGUGGACGUAUACGGUGUGACGCCUGCCCGGUGCCGGAAGGUUAAUUGAUGGGGUUAGCGGUAACGCGAAGCUCUUGAUCGAAGCCCCGGUAAACGGCGGCCGUAACUAUAACGGUCCUAAGGUAGCGAAAUUCCUUGUCGGGUAAGUUCCGACCUGCACGAAUGGCGUAAUGAUGGCCAGGCUGUCUCCACCCGAGACUCAGUGAAAUUGAACUCGCUGUGAAGAUGCAGUGUACCCGCGGCAAGACGGAAAGACCCCGUGAACCUUUACUAUAGCUUGACACUGAACAUUGAGCCUUGAUGUGUAGGAUAGGUGGGAGGCUUUGAAGUGUGGACGCCAGUCUGCAUGGAGCCGACCUUGAAAUACCACCCUUUAAUGUUUGAUGUUCUAACGUGGGCCCCUUACCGGGGUUGCGGACAGUGUCUGGUGGGUAGUUUGACUGGGGCGGUCUCCUCCUAAAGAGUAACGGAGGAGCACGAAGGUUGGCUAAUCCUGGUCGGACAUCAGGAGGUUAGUGCAAUGGCAUAAGCCAGCUUGACUGCGAGCGUGACGGCGCGAGCAGGUGCGAAAGCAGGUCAUAGUGAUCCGGUGGUUCUGAAUGGAAGGGCCAUCGCUCAACGGAUAAAAGGUACUCCGGGGAUAACAGGCUGAUACCGCCCAAGAGUUCAUAUCGACGGCGGUGUUUGGCACCUCGAUGUCGGCUCAUCACAUCCUGGGGCUGAAGUAGGUCCCAAGGGUAUGGCUGUUCGCCAUUUAAAGUGGUACGCGAGCUGGGUUUAGAACGUCGUGAGACAGUUCGGUCCCUAUCUGCCGUGGGCGCUGGAGAACUGAGGGGGGCUGCUCCUAGUACGAGAGGACCGGAGUGGACGCAUCACUGGUGUUCGGGUUGUCAUGCCAAUGGCACUGCCCGGUAGCUAAAUGCGGAAGAGAUAAGUGCUGAAAGCAUCUAAGCACGAAACUUGCCCCGAGAUGAGUUCUCCCUGACUCCUUGAGAGUCCUGAAGGAACGUUGAAGACGACGACGUUGAUAGGCCGGGUGUGUAAGCGCAGCGAUGCGUUGAGCUAACCGGUACUAAUGAACCGUGAGGCUUAACCUUACAACGCCGAAG
rnacentral:rRNA from 1 species